GCGGUUUCACGGUUUCGCGGUUCGGAACUUGUCGCAAACGGUUCCGGUUCCGGAUCCGGUUCCAAGCGGUUCGGGACCGGUUCGGUUCCGGGUAACCCGCCCCGUGGCCAUGCCUACAAGUAAUCAUCAAAGGUAUAUAUUACUAAAAAAAGGCAAUGAACAAUUGAUAUUUACUUCAUAAACCCUAGAAAAGAAAACUACAGAGUAAAAACUGCAGGGUUUUCACUUUUAAUGAUGGAUCAUGAAUGUGAAGCAUCCUCAAUAAUCUGGUUGCAUGGCUGGAAAUAAAUUUUGAUUUCAGGCAUGUCUGGUGCAUUUGGCUUCCCUGAUCUCCAAAAUCAAUAUCCUCAGCCACAUAUCGUUUUGAAUACUGGCAAUAAUUACAAUGAAUCUGGUGAACAAAAAUCUGGAGACAUUAUUAUCAACGUCCAC